rnacentral:rRNA from 1 species
AUUGAACGCUGGCGGCAGGCCUAACACAUGCAAGUCGAGCGGAUGAAGGGAGCUUGCUCCUGGAUUCAGCGGCGGACGGGUGAGUAAUUCCUAGGAAUCUGCCUUGUAGUGGGGGAUAACGUCCGGAAACGGGCGCUAAUACCGCAUACGUCCUGAUGGAGAAAGUGGGGGAUCUUCGGACCUCACGCUAUCAGCUGAGCCUACGUCGGAUUAGCUAGUUGGUGGGGUAAAGGCAUACCAAGGCGACGAUCCGUAACUGAUCUGAGAGGAUGAUCAGUCACACUGGAACUGAGACACGGUCCAGACUCCUACGGGAGGCAGCAGUAGGGAAUAUUGGGCAAUGGGCGAAAGCCUGAUCCAGCCACGCCGCGUGUGUGAAGAAGGUCUUCGGAUUGUAAAACACUUUAAGUUGGGAGGAAGGGCAGUAAGAGAAUACCUUGCUGUUUUGACGUUACCAACAGAAUAAGCACCGGCUAACUUCGUG